rnacentral:rRNA from 1 species
GACGAACGCUGGCGGCGUGCUUAACACAUGCAAGUCGAGCGGUAAGGCCCUUUCGGGGGUACACGAGCGGCGAACGGGUGAGUAACACGUGGGUGACCUGCCCUCAGCUCUGGGAUAAGCCUGGGAAACCGGGUCUAAUACCGGAUAUGACUCCAUGACGCAUGUUGUGGGGUGGAAAGCCUUGUGCGGCUGAGGAUGGGCCCGCGGCCUAUCAGCUUGUUGGUGGGGUGANGGCCUACCAAGGCGACGACGGGUAGCCGGCCCCGAGAGGGCGACCGGCCACACUGGGACUGAGACACGGCCCAGACUCCUACGGGAGGCAGCAGUGGGGAAUCUUGCGCAAUGGGCGAAAGCCUGACGCAGCGACGCCGCGUGA